ACGUGGAGGCACAGGGCAGCGCCUCAAGCUUUGUGACGUCACGUGCUUGACUGUUUAUAAAGUAGUUCGUGUUGCUUUACGUCACUACUGGAAGUUGAACAUUGAAACGUCAUAUGUGUUGAUAAAUACUUAGUUAUUUAUGUGGUAUAGGAAGACCGGAAAGUAAAAAUCAGUAAAUGCUUUCUUGUGACUUCUGGCAACUUAGCAGGCGAGGCUGGGCCGGGAAGCGGAAGGAAGUUACGUGACUAGCAGGGGCUGUGGUAACCGUGUGAUGUGGAGGUUACGUGUGUUUUGCGUGUGUAGUGCAUGUGUGCGGGCCCAGUGUAACAUCAACGCUUCCAUCAUAUCGAUACGUGGUGGUGCUUUGUUACUGAUGGCCCCGGCAACACCACCCCCAACACACGCCAGAGGGCCCAGGCAGAGAGUAGAUCGUGGGCCUGCCUGCCUGUCCCUCUGCCUGCCUGCCUGUUUGCAUCCCACCUGCUAGCCUGCCUGUCUGUCUGUGCCUGCCUGCCUGCCUGCUCCAGAUCAAAGCUCCAUCAGUGUAUACAGAAUAAUGAAUAAUGUGGAUGUUACUGGUGCUCUAAAACGUUGAAUUGGUUUCGGGAGACGCAGUGGAGGCAGGACUGAACCAAACACGCCUACCCUCGCUGGCUGAGUGCACGAGGACCAGCCAGCUUAAACGCGCUCACUCUGGCACUGAUUUGAAUAUUCAUAAAGUAUGUUCUUUUUAUGCAUUAGUGGGGUGUUAAUGUGAUGUGUUAUGAGAAGCUGCCGGCCAGUUUGUCGCGUCGUACAGGCCUUCUUUGUUUGUUUGUCCUGCUUCAGGGUGGUGGUGGAGGGCAGCCUGGGGUCAGUUACGGGCCGGCCACAAGUCAAUGAAUAGGUCCUUUUUUUUACUUCUUCUUAUGUGUUUGACGUUUUCCUUCAGUGUCAAGUCCUCUGGUCUAAGAAUCUGCAAGUUGCUGAGUUUCGAAAGCAUUUGUCUUGAGAAUAGAGGACUCAACAGUGAAGAGAAGCGGUACGGUAAACAUAAUGGGAACGGUUCUGUUGUUACUCGAUUAUUGAAAGUCAAUAUAGCUGGUUAACAAUUUUUUCUGUAUAUGUUUUGCUGAAAUUAAUGGUAACCAAUGUUUCUUUAGGAAAAACGUUCUUAACGGAAGAUAUA